GAUGAACGCUGGCGGUGUGCCUAAUACAUGCAAGUCGAGCGAACAGACGAGGAGCUUACUCCUCUGACGUUAGCGGCGGACGGGUGAGUAACACGUGGAUAACCUACCUAUAAGACUGGGAUAACUUCGGGAAACCGGAGCUAAUACCGGAUAACAUGUUGAACCGCAUGGUUCAACAGUGAAAGACGGUCUUGCUGUCACUUAUAGAUGGAUCCGCGUCGCAUUAGCUAGUUGGUAAGGUAACGGCUUACCAAGGCAACGAUGCGUAGCCGACCUGAGAGGGGGAUCGGCCACACUGGAACUGAGACACGGUCCAGACUCCUACGGGAGGCAGCAGUAGGGAAUCUUCCGCAAUGGGCGAAAGCCUGACGGAGCAACGCCGCGUGAGUGAAGAAGGUCUUCGGAUCGUAAAACUCUGUUAUUAGGGAAGAACAAAUGUGUAAGUAACUAUGCACGUCUUGACGGUACCUAAUCAGAAAGCCACGGCUAACUACGUG
rnacentral:rRNA from 1 species